GACGAACGCUGGCGGCGUGCUUAACACAUGCAAGUCGAACGGACAGGCCCUGCUUUUGUGGGGUGCUCGAGUGGCGAACGGGUGAGUAACACGUGAGUAACCUGUCCUUGACUUUGGGAUAACUUCAGGAAACUGGGGCUAAUACCGGAUAGGAGCUCCUGCUCCACGGUGGGGGUUGGAAAGUUUCGGCGGUUGGGGAUGGACUCGCGGGUUAUCAGCUUGUUGGUGUGGUAGUGGCAUACCAAGGCUUUGACGGGUAGCCGGCCUGGGAGGGUGACCGGCCACAUUGGGACUGAGAUACGGCCCAGACUCCUACGGGAGGCAGCAGUGGGGAAUAUUGCACAAUGGGCGGAAGCCUGAUGCAGCAACGCCGCGUGCGGGAUGACGGCCUUCGGGUUGUAAACCGCUUUCGCCUGUGACGAAGCGUGAGUGACGGUAAUGGGUAAAGAAGCACCGGCUAACUACGUG
rnacentral:rRNA from 1 species